UUUUUUUUUUUUUAAUUAUUUUCUUUUAAUUAUAGUUGAUUGACAGUGUUCUGUCGAUUUCUGCUCUACAGCAAAGUGAGCCAGUCGUACAUAUAUGUAUAUAUAUAUACAUUCCUUUUCUCACAUUAUCUGCCAUCAUGUUCCAUCAUAAGUGACUGGACAGAGUUCCCUGUGCUCUACAGCAGGACCUUGUUGCUUAUCCAUUGAGCCUGUACACUAUAAAAUGAUGUGCCAGGGGAGUCUACUGAGGGUUUCGUAUUUUAGAUUUUAGUUCAGAUUUCAAAUCCAAUCUUACCAUAGGGGAAACGGUGGGGGCGGGGGAGCCCUGCUCUUUAAUUACUUGUCAUCUAUUUCCAUCAAGCAAGCCCCUGUAUUUCCAGAUGAUUUGGGGCCCAAUUUCUGUGAUCCGGGACACAUGUGGGGCUCCCCAACAUCGACACAAGUCAGUGGUCCUGUUGUAGCAAAAUGUUCUUUGCCUUCAGUCAAGGAAGGGUAUUGAACCAGAAGUGUGAUUUUUUUGUUGUUGUUGUUCUCAUUCUCUAUUUCAUUUUAAUUGUCUUUUUUUUUUGAGGGGGGUGUCUUUUUUUAGGGCUGCACCUGCAGCAUAUGUAGGUUCCCAGGCUAGGGGUCCAAUCAGAGCUAUAGCUGCUGGCCUACACCACAGCCACAGCAACGCCAGAUAUGAGCCACGUCCGCGACCUACACCACAGCUCACGGCAACACCAGAUCCUUAACCCACAGAGCAAGGCCAGGGAUCAAACCUACGUCCUCGUGGAUGCUAGUCGGGUUCGUUAACCACUGAGCCAUGACAGGACUGCUUCGUUUAAUUGUCUAAAAUAAGAGAAAGGCAUUUUAAAAGAAACCUGUAACAUUCUUUUUUAAGAAUGGACUGACUUACAAAAAUGAAGCAUAUGUGAAGGAGUUUUCUAAGUGACCUUGGAGAAUGUCAUCAAGGGCAGCAGGCUCCAUCCCAGCCUGAGACAUGCCCAGCUCUUUCUCAUACCACCCUUAGGUUUGAUUUCAUUUUUUUUUAAUAAUGGCUUUAUUACUUACUCUAGGCUGUUUUGUUCACACAACUGUUGGCUUUGACAUUUUAAACUGCAUAUUUUCUUUGUAACUCCAAUAAAAAUGGGGUCAGGUGUCAUGUGAAUGACCUUGGAGACAGAAGCAACCAAGUCAACCCACUUUGACAGGAAGAGGCCCCACGCUCUCACUUGAGGGCAGCGGAAUCAUUUGAAGACAAAAGAUCAUUCAGUUACAGUAAAGCUUGAAAUCGAACGAUGGGGUUUAUCGGUGCCAAGCGUUGGCCCGAGGAUGAAACGGAGUAACAGCUCUUGCUCUUGGUGACUGAGUGGGCGUGAUGCCCAGCUCCACGCUCAGCCCUUCGCUGCCUUCCCUCGCCGAAUCCUCACCUCAGGCCCAGGAAGUGUAGGAGCAUCAGGGUCAGCGCUAUCAGGAGGAAGCAGGCAUGCGGAGCUCCAGUGACUUGCCCUGGGCUGGUCACAGAGCUGUGAAUGGCCAGACUCCGCAGAGCCCAAAGCAGUUGACCUUGACCCCUGGACCUGGCUCUGGACUGGGGGGCUCCGGGUGAGCAGGCAGACAACUUUUUUUUUUUUUUUUUUAAUUUUGGGCCACAUUUGCAGCAUAUGGAAGUUCCCAGGCUAUGGGUCAUAUCUCAGCUGCAGCUGCCAGCCUACGUCACAGCCACAGCAAUACCAGACCCGAACCAUGUCUGUGAGCUACGCCACAACUUGUGGCAGUGCCAAAUCCUUAACCCACUGAGCGAGGCCAAGGAUCGAACCCACAUUCUCAUGGGUACUAGUCAGGUUCGUUACCUGAGCCACCACGGGAACUCCCAAACAGAUCUUAAAGGACACUAUAGGGACCCAGCCUGCUUUUUGGCCCAGAUUCAUUAGGGGAGAACAGGCGAGCGUCCUCUUUUUCUGAGGCCCUCAGAAUUCACCCUGAAUUCUCUCUUCCGUCUCUAGGAGGAAAUCUCAGACAAGACCUGUAACCUCUUCAGUUUUAAAUAAUUCAGUCCUCAGAUCAGUUGCAGGCGUGGAAGUCUGGAAACCUCCCACCUCCCAUCUGGUAUCUACUGGCCUCUUCCUCUCCCAGCCCAGGACUGGCAGCCUCCCUGGAGGAGGGGACUUAUCAAACCUCGUGGCCCCGGCUCCUUCCCUGCUCAGUGUCAGGUGUCACUUCUAACCUGGGGCAGACCCCUGGGGGUGGAGGAUAUGCGGUGGAAGAUGACAGGCCCUCUCCUUGGCUCUGAUGCCUGUUAUCUAGACUUGGGGAGCCCAGAGCUGCUUCUCUUGGGGAGCUUUUGGGUUCCCUGGGGGCAGCCGCAGGUCUUCCACCUCUGGGGGUGCUCACAGCCUUCCCCUCAGAGCAGGGCUCUUUGGGAGGAGUUUCUUUUAAGAUAAGCUCAGACCACCUUUCCCCAAGGUCACAGGUGGGCCUGGAACCCCAAAGGCUUGUACUCGUGGACACACAGCUUCUCCAGCCUGUGUCGUAGGGCAGGGUCCAGCAUACUCAGUCCUGAGGCCUCUGAGACUGGAGCUCCAGGCCAGCCUCCAUCAGCUCCAGGACACCUGGGAGCUCCCGGGGGGUGGGGAAAGGUCCUGAGCCCACUCAGCCACUUUGAGAUGUGGGUGGGCACACAGGCCAUGGUUCAAACCUUAGCUAGAAGCCAAGAGCAGAAACGGCCCUGAUCCAUCCCCGUAGGCCUGGCUGUCUCCCACCUCCUUCCUUGCUCUCCUGAAGUCACAGGAAAGCUUGCAGGUAGCAAUUCGUACCCCCGUCCACCCUUCCCUCCAGGCUGGCUCGGCUCACAGCGCCCCCUGGAGGCUGUUACUAUAACACAGGCAUGGUUGUCAAUUAUUUUCUCACUGUCAGCAAAACACGGCCCCUGUGCUGCUCACUGGGUACCUUGGUCAUUCCCAGGAGAGCCAGGGAGGGGAACAGGGGGGCUUUCCUCCUUGGUCCAUACUCAUGAAGGCCACAGGAGUCAGAGUUGACCUCUCGGCCUCUCUUCACUAUUCCAACCUACGUUUCUAUCCUUUGUACAGAAUGGAUGUGUCCAAAAAAAACCAAACCAAAACAAAACAAAAAACAAGGCUUAAAAGGCCCGCUGGAAAACCGGAGAAAUGGUUUACGGAAGAGGUGGACAAUGAGAACAAAGUCAUGCAAACGGAGGGCGAGGAUUUUUUAUAUAGAUUACAUAUGAAGACCUCCUCUAGCCCAUGGAAAGAGUAAGCUGAAAAAUGAGGAUACUGGAAUCAAAAGUUUAAAUGAUUGUUAGAACUAGCCCGUGGUUUCCAAGAAUCUACAAAGUGAUAGAAUUGUUGGCAAGAAGAUUCUUUCGCCUGCGUGGAGGUGAUUGCUGACGGCAGCGCUGAGGUCAGAAAAGAGAAGACCCGGCCGUCAGAAUUACAGAUGAGGGAUUUCGCCAGGGGUUGGAAGGAGGCCCGUCAUCCGGAAACCGAAGUACCAGUCCUGGACCAAGCCGGUGGUUUCGACUUCAUGCUUCCAGAUGUGCGGCCCUGGGAUUUCUUCAUGCCAGUUCUCUGUGGGCAAAUGCCAUCUCUGUUGGACACAAGCUGUUGCUACGCCUCCUUUACCUUUUUCACUUUUGCCAUUCCCCCUCUUGCCUUCUUUCCAAGUUAUUUUCACAACGUAAAUGGAGUUAAUAAAGUGGAUCAUGUUAGGAAGGGAAGGGAAAGGGGAAAUGGUGAAAAACAUGGCCUGUUCAUUAAAAUGGACAAGUUAACGACUUCCACAUGCGAUGCUGUGGCUUCCUUAACCCGCAAAACUGAGCAGUUAAUUGAGGAACACAUUUUAUUUCUAAAUAUAGCUUUUGCGUUGACCGCGAUGUGGUUAACUGUUUGUGACCAUAUGUAUGAAGGAGAUGACACGUUCCGAGAGGCCCUCCUGGUGACCGUCUGUCAUCCCAGGCGGAGGCGGGCAGAUGCUGCGAUGGGCACAGCUGGUUAGAAGGGGUCUGGCUCAAGCCUGGGCUGCAGAGGAGGGAGGGGAGAGGAUUAGCCAAGAGUGCGUGGUGCUUCUCCCGAGAGAGUCAGCAGGAAGCCUGGACAGUCCCUCACAGCCCCUGCACCCUCCGCCAGUCCCGCUGGACUUUCAGCCCAGGGCAGGCCUUAAACAUCUUUUGAAAUUGUCCACACUCCUCUCCAUCCCCAGAAACACCCUCCUCAGAGCGCAGCAUGAAUGAGAAGUGCCCGUGUGCCCUUAUUGAACGUCCCCCAUUCCCUUGGAUCGGUAGUACCAUUAUGCCCAUUUUAGAGAAAGGAAACCAGAGGCGCAGAAGGAGUGGACCUCUUUCCAGGGCAGAGCCAGGAUUUAGGCCAAGGGCAGUGCCCAGAGGACCAUGGCUAGGAGCCUGCUGCCUCCCAGCCCCUGGCUGGCUCUGGCUGCCUCCCUCAGCCAUCCCUGCUCCCCCCUCAUCCUGUCCCUGCCCUGCAGCCAGGGCGACACUUUCAAACUACAAAUCUGACCCUGUUGCUAAUGUUUCUUCACCAGUGGGGGUCCCCCGAAAGUCUGCGUAAAAUCCAAGUCCAUCUGCCCCUCCUCCGUCCCAGCGGGUCUCUCCCUGCUCGCCCCCACCUCGCACACUGGCCGUCAGGUGCAUUUUAAGUUUCUGGAAUGAACCAUGAACUCAGUAGAGAGCUUCUCGGAGGGCGGGUGCCCUGGGUCCCAGCCGUUACUCCAGUUCUUUCCUCUCUGCCCCUUCACCUGAUUCCCAAGACGUGGUUGGUGGGCGAGUACUUUUCGACACUCUGGCCACACCGGCAGUAUUACUCAGUUAAUAUUCAUCAUGUAUGUUGAAUCUUUUUUCUAAAUUGUCAGCAGCUUCUGACAAUUUUCUUUACAUCCGAUACAUAAUCGCUCGGUCAUUAGGUACAAAUCCAUUGAUUCCACACAGCCCACAGCUCAGGAGGAACUCAGAUAUUGAGCAGUGUUCUCUUACAUUUGCAAGGAAUUGGAAUGUUAACCCUGUCGCCGAGGCUGCGUGCUUACUUCCGUAGCAAGAUGUUCCUCAAUGGGAAGAGCCUAGAGGACAGCGAGAGAGUGAGCCCCAGGCAAGGUGGACUCUGGGGCCUGAAGUCGGUGAGCACAGAUGCGGAUCAGGAACCUGCAGAGGACAGGUUUACUCAGCCUGCGACGGGUGUGAUCUGACCUGUUAGGAAACUGGAAGAAUCAGUUCUUCGAGAGCUCUUACAAGCCGCAAAGGGAAUUUGCUUCUCUUGCUAUUUGCCUCCAAGAAUGUUUUUGGGAAGGACGUCCUCGCGCUGGAGGGGUCCCACGCGCUCACUUUCAGAGAGGAGCGCCGCAUAGCGGCGAGAGGUCACGUGACUCAGAGCAGGGCUCCCUCCUCAGAGCAGAAUUUCCGCCUUUUUUUCUGCCUUAACACACAUGAGGAAGGAGCGGUUUUCACGUGUUUAAGACGCUCCUGUGGGUGAAUCUGGGGUCGGGUUCAACCCCCAGGUCGUUGCUGUACCUCCGCUGCCUUCCUUGCAGCCUCACAGUAAAGAUCAGUGAGCUGGUAACUGUUUCUCUUCCUUACCGGAAGCGCGUGGUGCACAGUGUUCUCUGCGAUUGAAGUUUAAAAUCAGGAGAUCGUGUGGAGAUCUGGGGUGGCUGUGUCCACAGGGAAUGCCGUUCCCCAGGGCAGCAUGUAGCUGGAGGCCCCUGCACACAGGCCACAGCCACCAGGGUCUGCCUGGCCUCGGAGGCACCAAGGCACACGUCGUCUGGGUUACAGGAAUUGUGCUUUAAGCAUUUUUCACAUAAACUAUGAAUCUCGCGGCUCAGUUUCUAUCCCUCACUGCCCCUGGGCUUGUAAAUGCUCUCAAAGCAGGGGGCUGGGGCUCCCCAUGCCUCCAACAUCAGCCCAGGUCCUGGUCUCUACCUAACUGCCGCCCCCGCCCCCAGCAGCUGGAGGAUUUGAAGUUAGAAGGAUCCAGGGUACUUUGGUUUGUAAAGUUUAGAAUUCUCUGGAACUACUAUUUCCAUGCCCUCAGAGCCCCAGACUUUUUACUCAUUUAAGAGACAAGAAAGCUUGGCUCACUUCCUCGGUGCCAGCAUCUAGGGUCUACUCUGAUACUCGCUGGUACAAGGAUUGAGAGUCCUUACACGUCUUCUUGUCCCUCCAUCCCCGGACCAGCUUCCUGGGUAUCACCUGGAGGUGAGAAAUGCAGAGUCUGGGCCCACCCAGUCUGCUGGGUCAGACUCUGGAUUCAGGCAGAUCCCCUGGAAACAUGAGCACACGAAACUUGAACAGGCAGCAGUAGAGCCAGG
ensembl:lncRNA